AGUGCUCUGUGCUAUAAAAAGCACGGCUUUAGAUCUUCAAGACCGUGCUUUUAAUAAUUGAAAAAUAAACAGUAAAAUCCAAUGAUUAAAAUAAAAUAAUUAAUUCCGACCUAACUGAUACACAUACAUGUACAUAACAUAAUAACAUUUAUAAGUAGAAUUCUGCCUGUGAAUUGUUUUGUUACAGGACUAAUGUAAUACUAUUAUGUAAGAACAGUUGAAGAUGUGAAGACGAGACGGCUAUUAUUAUUUAAUCUUAAUUAAGUUUUCGAUUAUAAAUUUGUUACGACGUUAAUGUUUGCGAUUGUCGAAGACGGGGUCGGUGUAUCUUUUAUUUUGGGUGAAAAAAAUAUGAGUGAAUUUAAUUGUAAUAUCUAUCUUGAUUCGUGAUAAGGGUAUUGUGGAUAUUAUGGCCUUGCAAAUGGUCAUAUUUCAAUUUUAAUCAUUUUUGGAUUAGUUGGGUGGUGGGGGUAGGUUUAUCUAUUCUGUGGUAGGAUCAAGGAAAGAAAAAGUUGUUUAAUCAUGGAUAAAACACAAACAAUGGGUGUCCCCUGUCCUUUUAUCUUUGUUUGUACGUCCGCGAGUAUUUAAAUGUUUUUAUUUAAUAUUCAAAUGACCAAUAACCAUUUUCAUGGAACGCCCACGACCGAUGAGUCAGAAUAAUAUAGCGACCACGCCAAAGGAUAAUACUUACUUACUACUUAGUAUUGUUUGUACUUAGUAGACAGAUGACGGUUAACGAACGCAAUGGAAGCGAAUAAGUAUUCAGAAAGUAGCAGCGAUGACACCAAAAACGAGAAUGAAGAUGAGGUGACCGCAAAAGUUGGAGGUUAUGAACCGGACAAAAUCUUAGGGGCCACUAAUGCUUCCGGAGAAUUAAUGUUCCUGUUGAAAUGGAGAAACGUAGACGACGUUACUAUUGUUCCUGCCAAAAUAGCGAAUGUGUUAUACCCCCAAGUCGUAAUUGAAUUUUACGAAAACCAUGUUGGGUGGUAUAGUUAAAUUGUAAAUAUUUUUUAUAUAAUUAAACGGCAAAUAAUACAGCCAAA